UGCAAGUCGUGCGAGAAAGCCCUGGCUUGCCAGGGUGAGUAAAGCGGCGAACGGGUGCGUAACACGUGAGCAAUCUGCCCUUCGGAGGGGGAUAAGCCCUCGAAAGGGGGUCUAAUACCGCAUGACAUUUCGGAAUGGCAUCUUUCUGAAAUCAAAGGUGGCCUCUACUUGUAAGCUACCACCGAAGGAUGAGCUCGCGCUCCAUUAGCCUGUUGGCAGGGUAACGGCCUACCAAAGCUACGAUGGAUAGCCGGCCUGAGAGGGUGACCGGCCACACUGGGACUGAGAUACGGCCCAGACUCCUACGGGAGGCAGCAGUAGGGAAUAUUGCGCAAUGGACGAAAGUCUGACGCAGCAACGCCGCGUGCGGGAUGAAGCUUCUUGGAGUGUAAACCGCUGUCAGGAGGGACGAACGGUCCCGGCUCUAACAUAGCCGGGAAUUGACGGUACCUCCAGAGGAAGCUCCGGCUAACUCCGUGCCAGCAGCCGCGGUAAUACGGGGGGAGCAAGCGUUGUUCGGAAUCACUGGGCGUAAAGGGUGCGCAGGCGGGAGGAUAGGUCGAAUGUGAAAACCCUGGGCUCAACCCAGGGCCUGCAUCCGAAACCAUUCUUCUUGAGUAUCGGAGAGGGAAGCGGAACUCCAGGUGUAGCGGUGAAAUGCGUAGAUAUCUGGGGGAACACCGGUGGCGAAGGCGGCUUCCUGGACGAAUACUGACGCUCAUGCACGA
rnacentral:rRNA from 1 species